rnacentral:rRNA from 1 species
GGGUGCGACUAUACCUGCACUAACGCACCGGAUCCCAUCAGAACUUCGAAGUUAAGCGUGCUUGGGCGAGAGUAGUACUAGGAUGGGUGACCCCCUGGGAAGUCCUCCUGUUGCACCCU